AGACCCGAAACCCGGUGAUCUAGCCAUGGGCAGGUUGAAGGUUGGGUAACACUAACUGGAGGACCGAACCGACUAAUGUUGAAAAAUUAGCGGAUGACCUGUGGCUGGGGGUGAAAGGCCAAUCAAACCGGGAGAUAGCUGGUUCUCCCCGAAAGCUAUUUAGGUAGCGCCUCGUGAAUUCAUCUCCGGGGGUAGAGCACUGUUUCGGCUAGGGGGCCAUCCCGGCUUACCAACCCGAUGCAAACUGCGAAUACCGGAGAAUGUUAUCACGGGAGACACACGGCGGGUGCUAACGUCCGUCGUGAAGAGGGAAACAACCCAGACCGCCAGCUAAGGUCCCAAAGUCAUGGUUAAGUGGGAAACGAUGUGGGAAGGCCCAGACAGCCAGGAUGUUGGCUUAGAAGCAGCCAUCAUUUAAAGAAAGCGUAAUAGCUCACUGGUCGAGUCGGCCUGCGCGGAAGAUGUAACGGGGCUAAACCAUGCACCGAAGCUGCGGCAGCGAACGUAUCACUUAAAGCGAUUCAGCGGGUUACGAUUGACGGAGCGAAGCGACGUCAAAGCGUAUACAAAGUCGAGUCGGUUUAAGGAUACGUUCGUUGGGUAGGGGAGCGUUCUGUAAGCCUGUGAAGGUGUGUCGUGAGGCAUGCUGGAGGUAUCAGAAGUGCGAAUGCUGACAUAAGUAACGAUAAAGCGGGUGAAAAGCCCGCUCGCCGGAAGACCAAGGGUUCCUGUCCAACGUUAAUCGGGGCAGGGUGAGUCGACCCCUAAGGCGAGGCCGAAAGGCGUAGUCGAUGGGAAACGGGUUAAUAUUCCCGUACUUGGUGUUACUGCGAAGGGGGGACGGAGAAGGCUAUGUUGGCCGGGCGACGGUUGUCCCGGUUUAAGCGUGUAGGUGUGUGUUCCAGGUAAAUCCGGUUCACUUUAACACUGAGGCGUGAUGACGAGGCACUACGGUGCUGAAGCAACAAAUGCCCUGCUUCCAGGAAAAGCCUCUAAGCAUCAGGUAACAUCAAAUCGUACCCCAAACCGACACAGGUGGUCAGGUAGAGAAUACCAAGGCGCUUGAGAGAACUCGGGUGAAGGAACUAGGCAAAAUGGUGCCGUAACUUCGGGAGAAGGCACGCUGACAUGUAGGUGAAGUGAUUUACUCAUGGAGCUGAAGUCAGUCGAAGAUACCAGCUGGCUGCAACUGUUUAUUAAAAACACAGCACUGUGCAAACACGAAAGUGGACGUAUACGGUGUGACGCCUGCCCGGUGCCGGAAGGUUAAUUGAUGGGGUCAGCGCAAGCGAAGCUCCUGAUCGAAGCCCCGGUAAACGGCGGCCGUAACUAUAACGGUCCUAAGGUAGCGAAAUUCCUUGUCGGGUAAGUUCCGACCUGCACGAAUGGCGUAAUGAUGGCCAGGCUGUCUCCACCCGAGACUCAGUGAAAUUGAACUCGCUGUGAAGAUGCAGUGUACCCGCGGCAAGACGGAAAGACCCCGUGAACCUUUACUAUAGCUUGACACUGAACAUUGAGCCUUGAUGUGUAGGAUAGGUGGGAGGCUUUGAAGUGUGGACGCCAGUCUGCAUGGAGCCGACCUUGAAAUACCACCCUUUAAUGUUUGAUGUUCUAACGUGGACCCGUGAUCCGGGUUGCGGACAGUGUCUGGUGGGUAGUUUGACUGGGGCGGUCUCCUCCUAAAGAGUAACGGAGGAGCACGAAGGUUGGCUAAUCCUGGUCGGACAUCAGGAGGUUAGUGCAAUGGCAUAAGCCAGCUUGACUGCGAGCGUGACGGCGCGAGCAGGUGCGAAAGCAGGUCAUAGUGAUCCGGUGGUUCUGAAUGGAAGGGCCAUCGCUCAACGGAUAAAAGGUACUCCGGGGAUAACAGGCUGAUACCGCCCAAGAGUUCAUAUCGACGGCGGUGUUUGGCACCUCGAUGUCGGCUCAUCACAUCCUGGGGCUGAAGUAGGUCCCAAGGGUAUGGCUGUUCGCCAUUUAAAGUGGUACGCGAGCUGGGUUUAGAACGUCGUGAGACAGUUCGGUCCCUAUCUGCCGUGGGCGCUGGAGAACUGAGGGGGGCUGCUCCUAGUACGAGAGGACCGGAGUGGACGCAUCACUGGUGUUCGGGUUGUCAUGCCAAUGGCACUGCCCGGUAGCUAAAUGCGGAAGAGAUAAGUGCUGAAAGCAUCUAAGCACGAAACUUGCCCCGA
rnacentral:rRNA from 1 species